CUGAACCAGCCAAGUAGCGUGAAGGAUCACUGCCCUAUGGAUUGUAAACUUCUUUUUUAAAGGAAUAAAGUCGGCAAUGCAUACCCGUUUGCAUGUACUUUAUGAAUAAAAAUCGGCUAACUCCGUGCCAGCAGCCGCGGUAAUACGGAGGAUCCGAGCGUUAUCCGGAUUUAUUGGGUUUAAAGGGAGCGUAGAUGGAUGUUUAAGUCAGUUGUGAAAGUUUGCGG
rnacentral:rRNA from 1 species